GAUGACAAACUGUUGCAGUAGUACAUUAAAGUACAUAAGUUCAAAGGGGCGUAACUCCUAGAAAAAAAAUUGAAUCGUAAUUUCCUGUCGAUAUGCACAUCUACGUAGUAUGUCCUUAUUAUCUGAAAAGGUUUCAUGAGAUUCUGUUGUGUGGUUUGAGAGGAGUUGCGAUGACAAAAGGUUGCAGGAGUAUAUUGGGCAAAUAAGUUCAAAGGGCGUAACUCCUGGAAAAAAAAUUGAAUUGUAAUUUCCUGUCGAUAUGCACAUCUACGUAGUAUGUCCUUAUUAUCUGAAAAGGUUUCAUGAAAUUCUGUUGUGUGGUUUGAGAGGAGUUGCCAUGACAAAAGGUUGCAGUAGUAUAUUGGGCAAAUAAGUUCAAAGGGGCGUUACUCCUGGAAAAAAUUGAAUCGUAAUUUCCUGUCGAUAUGCACAUAUACAUAGUAUGUCCUUAUUAUCUGAAAAGGUUUCAUGAAAUUCUGUUGUGUGGUUUGAGAGGAGUUGCGAUGACAAGAAACAGGACUGACGGACUGACGGACGGACGGGUCAAAAACAUUAUACCCUCCG